AUGCCGUGAUGAUACCCUUCUGGUUCCACAUACAGCUGAGUUUCAGAGAUGACUCCUUUCUCUUGGGAGGAA